AUUGAACGCUGGCGGCAGGCUUAACACAUGCAAGUCAAGCGGGGUGAAGUGCUUCGGUACUGAUCCUAGCGGCGGACGGGUGAGUAAUGCUUAGGAAUCUGCCAUUUAGUGGGGGACAACAUUCCGAAAGGGAUACUAAUACCGCAUACGUCCUACGGGAGAAAGCAGGGGAUCUUCGGACCUUGCGCUAAAUGAUGAGCCUAAGUCGGAUUAGCUAGUUGGUGGGGUAAAGGCCUACCAAGGCGACGAUCAGUAGCGGGUCUGAGAGGAUGAUCCGGCACACUGGGACUGAGACACGGCCCAGACUCCUACGGGAGGCAGCAGUGGGGAAUAUUGGACAAUGGGCGGAAGCCUGAUCCAGCCAUGCCGCGUGUGUGAAGAAGGCCUUUUGGUUGUAAAGCACUUUAAGCGAGGAGGAGGCUACCUAGAUUAAUACUCUGGGAUAGUGGACGUUACUCGCAGAAUAAGCACCGGCUAACUCUGUGCCAGCCGCCGCCGUAACAC
rnacentral:rRNA from 1 species